ACGAGCAACGUGAUUCAGGACUCGGGCUGAAAGUGAAAAUGUCCGUUUGCCAGCCAUGAAUAAGUAAUAUGUAACUGCAAUCAGGAGAAAACUAUGAGGACAGUGACCAUGUAAACGUCAUACUCUGAACAAACAGGCACCCUGAUGCUCGGUGCCCUAACCCUAAUAAACAGAACCGCCACGUUUCUCCACUUACCGCGGUCUGGGAAUCCUCAGGGUAGGAGACAGAAAGGAAGAUGUUCAAAUUAUUCCUGCGAAAAUUACGAGAGUCCCAGGUUACUUCGGACCUGAGGCUUGGCUGCUCCUCCCAGCGUUUCUGCCCAGGAAUGGAUGCUUCAGAAAACACCUGCUCCUGGGUUCCUGUGGCAAGAACCCCACCCCAGAUGUUUUACAGCUUCAGAAAACACCUGCUUCUGGGUUCCUGUGGCAAGGACUCCACCCCAGAUGUUUUACAGCUUCAGAAAACACCUGCUUCUGGGUUCCUGUGGCAAGAAACCCACCCCAGAUGUUUUACAGCUUCAGAAAACAUCUGCUUCUGGGUUCCUGUGGCAAGGAGCACACCCCAGAUGUUUUACAGCUUCAGAGAAAAUAUCCAUCUGUGGGAUUAUAAUAUAUCAAUAGAAAUGUAUGAAAUCCUAAUCUGGCAGAGAUUAAAUAAUCUAAGAAUGAGUUAAAUCAUUGAUUGUAAAAAGAUGGUUGUACAUGCACAGUUAUACAAAACCUGACAGUUGUAAUAGGUGUAAUCAAGUGAAAUGGUGUAAUAACAAAUUAAUAGUUGGAGAAAACUAAAGGUCUCAACAUAACAUGCAGGGUUCUGUGGUUAACUGGUCUGUCACCGUUACAUCGUAAUUAGCAGAGGGGGUGGGACAGUCAGCUGAAUACUGGGAUAUUAACUACAUUAUUUUUAGGGUGUGGGCAUGUGGAGCAAAUAACCGCCUGGCAGUUACUGAAACCCAGUAAACUGUGGGAAAUACUGAGCCCGGCCACUAGGGGCAGCCUACUGCCAUGUUUAUAGAAACUGCCACGGGGAUAAACUUAGCAGUUAAACUGACACCUAAGCCAGUGUCAGAAAGACUGCAGGGUCACAGGGCAGCUUAGCUCACGGAAAAGUGUGAAAACAAACCCUGGCAGCUCAGAAUGACAAAUAUAGGACGUACUUUGACUUGAUAAGCCAAUAGAAGUAUGCCUACUGACAGAGGAAAAUGUUCUAGCAAUUUGCUUAUUCUUUGACAAAUUGUUUUGUACUUUAAAAAUCCAUUAUGAAAAAAAUAAACCUACUUAAACACAUGAAAUCUAGGUUAAGAAGAAAGUAAAACAUUUGGACAUUUUCAUGAGCUUUACACAUAAGAAACUACAGUGACAUCUUGUGGUAGAUGUAGAGAACGACAAAUGCUUCUUUUAAUGCAGCGUUUCACAAACCAGUCCUCGGGGACCCACAGACAGUUCACGUUUUUGCUGUCUGGCAGGGAGCUGAGAGGGAGCAAAAACGUGGACCGUCUGGAGGUCUGGAGAAAUAGUGUCUAUUUUUAACACUAAAACUGAUGGUGGCUUUUAAGGGGAAGCUCAUAUUUGACUUUUAUUAUCAGGGAUUUUGGACCAUUAUAAUAAUAAACUGUCCAGAGAAAUCA